rnacentral:tRNA from 1 species
GGGCCGGUAGCUCAGUUGGUAGAGCAGCUGACUCUUAAUCAGCGGGUCCGGAGUUCGAGGCUCCGCCGGCCCA